rnacentral:rRNA from 1 species
CACAGAGUUUGCCGGUGCUUCCUCUCCUGGUACCAUCACGCUACUGGAACUUUCCCCCAAUAGCCGUUUUUCCCAGGCGACAGAGCUUUACAACCCGAAGGCCUUCCUCACUCACGCGGCGUGGCUGCGUCAGACUUUCGUCCAUUGCGCAAUAUUCCCUACUGCUGCCUCCCGUAGGAGUCUGGACCGUGUUUCAGUUCCAGUGUGCCUGAUCAUCCUCUCAGACCAGGUACCCAUCAUUGUCUUGGUAAGCCGUUACCUCACCAACUAACUAAUGGGACGCAGACUCAUCCAUCGGCGAUAGCUUGCGCCAUCUUUCCACUCAAGAGCUUCACGCCCUCGAGUGCGUACUCGGCAUUAGCCCGUCUUUCGACAGGUUAUUCCAAUCCAAAGGGUAGAUUAUCCACGUGUUACUCACCCGUGCGCCGCUUUACUCAUCCUUGCGGACUUUCGCGCUCGACUUGCAUGUAUGAGGCCCGCCGCCAGCGUUCGUUCC